rnacentral:rRNA from 1 species
ACUCCUGCGGGAGGCAGCAGUGGGGAAUUUUGGACAAUGGGCGAAAGCCUGAUCCAGCAAUGCCGCGUGUGUGAAGAAGGCCUUCGGGUUGUAAAGCACUUUUGUCCGGAAAGAAAUCCUUGGCUCUAAUACAGUCGGGGGAUGACGGUACCGGAAGAAUAAGCACCGGCUAACUACGUGCCAGCAGCCGCGGUAAUACGUAGGGUGCGAGCGUUAAUCGGAAUUACUGGGCGUAAAGCGUGCGCAGGCGGUUUGCUGAGACCGAUGUGAAAUCCCCGGGCUCAACCUGGGAACUGCAUUGGUGACUGGCAGGCUAGAGUAUGGCAGAGGGGGGUAGAAUUCCACGUGUAGCAGUGAAAUGCGUAGAGAUGUGGAGGAAUACCGAUGGCGAAGGCAGCCCCCUGGGCCAAUACUGACGCUCAUGCACGAAAGCGUGGGGAGCAAACAGGAUUAGAAACCCGGGUAGUCCCAUG